AACGAACGCUGGCGGCGUGCCUAACACAUGCAAGUCGAACGUGAUUGAGAGCUUGCUCUCAUGAAAGUGGCGCACGGGUGAGUAACGCGUAGAUAAUCUACCUGGUGAUCCGGGAUAACACCUCGAAAGGGGUGCUAAUACCUGAUAAGCCCACGGGGUCUUCGGACUCUGCGGGAAAAGGGGGGGACCUUUAGGCCUUCCGUCAUCAGAUGAGUCUGCGUACCAUUAGCUAGUUGGUAGGGUAAAGGCCUACCAAGGCGACGAUGGUUAGCUGGUCUGAGAGGAUGAUCAGCCACACUGGAACUGAGACACGGUCCAGACUCCUACGGGAGGCAGCAGUGGGGAAUUUUGCGCAAUGGGGGAAACCCUGACGCAGCAACGCCGCGUGAGUGAUGAAGGCCCUUGGGUCGUAAAGCUCUGACAGAGGGAAAGAAGUGCAGGGGAGCUAAUAUCUCCUUUGCUUGACGGUACCCUCAAAGGAAGCACCGGCUAACUCCGUGCCAGCCGCCGCCGUAAGAC
rnacentral:rRNA from 1 species